rnacentral:lncRNA from 1 species
UUACCACAUACGCAUGCAUACUUGAUCACCAUAAUCAUACAUGAUACAUAGAUUAGGCAAGAUCCAAAACAUACAAAUUAUGAGAACCUAAACAAACGACGAUCACACUCACAGGGGUAGACGGCGAACAGUGAAACCCUAGAAGAGACAGCAAACGAUUCACGAGAGUUGUUGAAUUGACCAACACUUCACAUUGAUGGUGGAAUACUCGAUAAGUUGUUGAAUGAUAUGAUUAUUUUACUCGAUAAGGGCACCAAAAAUAUCAGGGUCGGGCCUGAACACUAUGUUUUACUACGAAAACUUCAUAAAAAAGUCCUCAAAGGAGCAUAAAAGUACUCAAGUAUUAAAAUACCAUAACAUCAUGAACAUAAAACUAUUAUGGACGAAUAGAAGAGAGAACUACAUCUUGAAGAGAGCUAUCUCUUUGCAUAGCAGCUUUGAAUUCAUCAAAUGUAACUUUUCCAUCAUUAUUAGCAUCCAUUAAGUCAAAAAUCUCAUCCAAUUUUCCAGGUUCAGUGAUAUCAGUUGGAAGACAAUCAUAUGGCAAAGCCUGUUUAAUUAAUGUAUAAAUGUGUGUUAAUAUAAUGAAAGUGAAAAGAUGAAGCUAAUUAAUUGAGAUGUGUGUGCAUUACCCUGAGCAUGGAUGCUACUUCCUCUUUGCUGAUGCAGCCUGAUCUAUCUGUAUCAUACAUCUAUUUGCCAACAAAAUAAAAAUAAAGAGGCAAAUGUGGUUAACAUGUUGAAAACUAGUUAUAGAGUGUAUGUUCAUAACAUUAAUUUUUAAGCUAUUUCUUUAGAGACAUUAAUUUAUUCCUUAAAAAAAAGACUAAUUUAUUGGUUCAACCUCUAAAAAAAAACUAAUUUAUUGAUUCAGUCCAACAUAUUUAAAGGUCAAAAGUAAUUUUUAUUUUAUUUUGGUGUUAACUCUUCGAUUCUUAGGUGAACGAGACUUUAAUAAUCCGUAAUUCAGCUUGAAGGUAAGUAAAACUUGACAAAAAAAAUUAAGCCUAAAUAUAUAGUGAACGUUUUAUCAAGACUUAGAAAAAUAAAAUAAAUCAUGUUGUACUAAGUCUAAGGUUUGAAUGUACAGGUCUAACAAGUUAUGAGGCCCCAAUGUUGAUCAACUAAGUUAAAUACAUAAUUUUAGGUUAAUAUUUACUAUUUCGUUAGUGUUGUUUAAAUUCAAUGUCUAAACUCCUUAACAUUUAGUUUAAACUAGUCGAACUAUCUAGUCUGAUACUAACAACAUAAAUUUCAACUCACAAAUAUCUAUAAUUUGAAUCCAUUUGCUUCACAUAUUCAUAUUUGUAAAACUUAAUAUUUGUUUGGGUGUUGAGUAUAAUUCACCUGGAAGCACAAACGAAGAGCAUCCUCUCCUUUGGAAUUCUUGAGACUGGAAAAUCCACAAAGUAUCUCACGCAUGUCAACUGUUCCAUCACGGUUGUUGUCAAACAAAUCAAAUAUACGAGAAGCAAAAGGGAUCAAUGAUAACAUAUUCAUUGCUUUUAACACCUCCUCAAACUCUGACAGAGUUGCAUUGUCUCUAUCUGCACAUCUGUUAACAACUCAUUACAUUACUUUAAUCAAAACUAUCAAAGUUUACAACUGCAACACACUUGUUAAUAUUGAAAAAUCAGAAAUGGUGUAUUUUCUAUUAGUAUUUUCUUUGUAUUCAAAAAGAAAACAUUAGUCCGAAGUGUAUCGUACACAUAGUCCCAAUUUUUUGUGUCAAAAUACACUUCGAGCAAAUGUAAUUGUAAUUACUACAAAGACAUAAAAAAACAUUGAUGUCACAUCUCAAACGCGACUUUGAACUGUUUUUUAAAACCUUAGCUCGAAUUGUGUAAAUAUUAUGAAAAUUACUUUUGAAUAUUUUUUUUUUUGGUAGAACCCCGGUUAUGGCAUUCGGCCUAACAAUUUCGACAUUUUUGCCAGUUGAGCUAGGAGUUCUGAAUACUUUUGAAUAUUUUAAUUAUCUGUCAUUCUUAACUAAUUUGAUUAUUUACUUAAAAUGUUUGGUUCCUUGUGAAAUUUAAGAGCUAAAGUUAAAUGUUACUAUGAUAAUUUUUGACUUUUGGGUACUUACAUCUUCUUGAAAUGCAUCCUGAGAUUUUCAAUUUCCUCUUCUUUAAGAUCAUAGGAUCCAACCAAUGAUUUCAAUUUUUUUGUUCUAAGGAAGAUUGUGGAGCUCCAAACACUAGCAAUUGCAGCUGCACGAAGUUUACGUCUUGCAUUAAAGCUUUGUAGCCUUGAGACAAUCUCAGGGUCCAUUUGAACAUCUUUGGCUUUCUCACCUUUGACCCAUGGAUCACUUAGAAGCUGUUCCAAAAAACACAAAGUACAACAACAUGUGUGUUGUGGUUUUUAUUCACCUUAAACUUCUUUACAUUUGAAGAUAAUGUCAUGAAAAAUAGGUCAAAUAUCAUCUACGAUUCUUAAGUUGUAUUAUAGCAAGUUAGUCAUUUAAGUUUUUUUUGUUAUAAAUUGGUCCUUUAAGUCAUAAAAUAUCUACAUCAUUAUUCUAAUUUCAUCAAACUCGAUUAAAAAAUAUUUAUGUGGACAUUUAAUGUUAAGUUGGUAUGUUCAAGAUAGUAGUAGUGUACAAUACCUCAAGAGCACUAGGUCUCUUGCUAGGAUCAACGGUUAAAAGACUUGAAAUCAAAUUCUUUGCUGGUUGUGAAAUUCCCUUCCAAGUCUUCUCAUAAAA